rnacentral:rRNA from 1 species
UACGUAGGGGGCUAGCGUUGUCCGGAAUCAUUGGGCGUAAAGCGCGUGUAGGCGGUCCGGUAAGUCCGCUGUGAAAGUCGGGGGCUCAACCCUCGGAUGCCGGUGGAUACUGUCGGGCUUGAGUACGGAAGAGGAGAGUGGAAUUCCUGGUGUAGCGGUGGAAUGCGCAGAUAUCAGGAGGAACACCAACGGCGAAGGCAGCUCGCUGGGACGGUACUGACGCUGGAGGCGCGAAAGCGUGGGGAGCGAACAGGAUAGAAACCC